UACACCGGAAGAUUUAGUGGCGAACGGGUGAGGAUCACGUGAGAAACGUGCCCCAGACUCUGGGAUAACAAUUGGAAACGAUUGCUAAUACCGGAUGACGUCGGAGAAUCGCAUGAUUCACUGACGAAAGAUAUUUCGGUUUGGGAGCGUCUCGCGGCCUAUCAGCUUGUUGGUGGGGUAAUGGCCUACCAAGGCAACGACGGGUAGCUGGUCUGAGAGGAUGAUCAGCCACACUGGGACUGAGACACGGCCCAGACUCCUACGGGAGGCAGCAGUGGGGAAUCUUGCGCAAUGGGCGAAAGCCUGACGCAGCAACGCCGCGUGCGGGAUGAAGGCCUUCGGGCUGUAAACCGCUUUCAGCAGGAACGAAAAUGACGGUACCUGCAGAAGAAGGAGCGGCCAACUACGUGCCAGCAGCCGCGGUGACACGUAGGCUCCAAGCGUUGUCCGGAUUUAUUGGGCGUAAAGAGCUCGUAGGCGGUUGAGUAAGUCGGGUGUGAAAACUCUGGGCUU
rnacentral:rRNA from 1 species